rnacentral:rRNA from 1 species
AUUGAACGCUGGCGGCAGGCCUAACACAUGCAAGUCGAGCGGAUGACGGGAGCUUGCUCCUUGAUUCAGCGGCGGACGGGUGAGUAAUGCCUAGGAAUCUGCCUGGUAGUGGGGGACAACGUUUCGAAAGGAACGCUAAUACCGCAUACGUCCUACGGGAGAAAGUGGGGGAUCUUCGGACCUCACGCUAUCAGAUGAGCCUAGGUCGGAUUAGCUAGUUGGUGAGGUAAAGGCCCACCAAGGCGACGAUCCGUAACUGGUCUGAGAGGAUGAUCAGUCACACUGGAACUGAGACACGGUCCAGACUCCUACGGGAGGCAGCAGUGGGGAAUAUUGGACAAUGGGCGAAAGCCUGAUCCAGCCAUGCCGCGUGUGUGAAGAAGGUCUUCGGAUUGUAAAGCACUUUAAGUUGGGAGGAAGGGCAGUAAGUUAAUACCUUGCUGUUUUGACGUUACCAACAGAAUAAGCACCGGCUAACUUCGUGCCAGCAGCCGCAGUAAAAC